rnacentral:rRNA from 1 species
UACGUAGGGUGCAAGCGUUAAUCGGAAUUACUGGGCGUAAAGCGUGCGCAGGCGGUUUUGUAAGUCAGAUGUGAAAUCCCCGGGCUUAACCUGGGAACUGCGUUUGAAACUACAAGGCUAGAGUGUGGCAGAGGGGGGUGGAAUUCCACGUGUAGCAGUGAAAUGCGUAGAGAUGUGGAGGAACACCGAUGGCGAAGGCAGCCCGCUGGGCAGUGGCUGACGCUGAAGCGCGACAGCGUGGGGAGCAAACAGG